rnacentral:rRNA from 1 species
GACGAACGCUGGCGGCGUGCUUAACACAUGCAAGUCGAACGGAAAGGCCCUGCUUUUGUGGGGUGCUCGAGUGGCGAACGGGUGAGUAACACGUGAGUAACCUGCCCUUGACUUUGGGAUAACUUCAGGAAACUGGGGCUAAUACCGGAUAGGAGCUCCUGCUGCAUGGUGGGGGUUGGAAAGUUUCGGCGGUUGGGGAUGGACUCGCGGCUUAUCAGCUUGUUGGUGGGGUAGUGGCUUACCAAGGCUUUGACGGGUAGCCGGCCUGAGAGGGUGACCGGCCACAUUGGGACUGAGUUACGGCCCAGACUCCUACGGGAGGCAGGAGUGGGGAAUAUUGCACAAUGGGCGGAAGCCUGAUGCAGCAACGCCGCGUGCGGGAUGACGGCCUUCGGGUGGUAAACCGAUUUCGCCUGUGACGAAGCGUGAGUGACGGUAAUGGGUAAAGAAGCACCGGCUAACUACGG